GAUGAACGCUAGCUACAGGCUUAACACAUGCAAGUCGAGGGGUAACGAGAGGAAAGCUUGCUUUCCUUGUCGACGACCGGCGCACGGGUGAGUAACGCGUAUCCAACCUGCCCCCAACUAGGGAAUAACCUUGCGAAAGUAGGACUAAUACCCUAUAAUUUCCUCAGAUGCCAUCUGACGAGGAAUAAAGAUUUAUCGGUUGUGGAUGGGGAUGCGUCUGAUUAGCUUGUUUGCGGGGUAACGGCCCACCAAGGCAACGAUCAGUAGGGGUUCUGAGAGGAAGGUCCCCCACAUUGGAACUGAGACACGGUCCAAACUCCUACGGGAGGCAGCAGUGAGGAAUAUUGGUCAAUGGGCGGAAGCCUGAACCAGCCAAGUAGCGUGCAGGAUGACGGCCCUAUGGGUUGUAAACUGCUUUUAUACAGGAAUAAAGUUAGCCACGUGUGGUUAUUUGUAGGUACUGUAUGAAUAAGGACCGGCUAAUUCCGUGCCAGCCGCCGCGGUAA
rnacentral:rRNA from 1 species